CGGUGAAAUGCCUUAGAUAGUACACAGAACACCGAUUGCGUAAGCAGCUUACUAAACUGUAACUGACGCUGAGGCACGAAAGCGUGGUGAGCGUACAGGAUUAGAUACCCUGGUAGUCCACGCUGUAAACUAUGAUCACUCGCUGUUGUCGAUACAUUGUCAGCGGCUGAGCGAAAGCAUUAAGUGAUCCACCUGGGGAGUACGGCCGCAAGGUUGAAACUCAAAGGAAUUGACGGGGGCCCGCACAAUCGGUGGAACAUGUGGUUUAAUUCGAUGAUACGCGAGGAACCUUACCUGGGCUUAAAUGCAGAACGACGUACCGGGAAACUGGUACUCCCUUCGGGGCGGACUGCAAGGUGCUGCAUGGUUGUCGUCAGCUCGUGCCGUGAGGUGUCGGGUUAAGUCCCAUAACGAGCGCAACCCUCAUUGUUAGUUGCCAGCGAGUAAUGUCGGGGACUCUAACGAAACUGCCGGUGUAAACCGUGAGGAAGGUGGGGAUGACGUCAAAUCAGCACGGCCCUUAUGUCCAGGGCUACACACGUGUUACAAUGGCCAGUACAAAGGGCAGCUACCACGCGAGUGGAUGCUAAUCUCUAAAGCUGGUCUCAGUUCGGAUUGAAGUCUGCAACUCGACUUCAUGAAGCUGGAAUCGCUAGUAAUCGCGCAUCAGCCAUGGCGCGGUGAUACGUUCCCGGGCCUUGUACACACCGCCCGUCACACCAUGGAAGCUGGCCACGCCCGAAGUCGUUACCCUAACCUU
rnacentral:rRNA from 1 species